AUGAAGGCCUUAGGGUUGUAAAGCUCUUUUACCCGGGAUGAUAAUGACGGGACCGGUAGAAUAAGCCCCGGCUAACUCCGGUGCCAGCAGCCGCGGUAAUAUAAUA
rnacentral:rRNA from 1 species